rnacentral:lncRNA from 1 species
AAGAAUUGAAUUCUGCAAAGCUGCAGAUUUUCAGCUCUCGGGGACCGGUCCCUGAAGGGAGAGACCGGUCCCCGAACGCGUAUGAAAUGAGACAGCCGAAAAAUCGGCUAAGUCCUGGAAGGAUAGCCCUCGGGAACCGGUCUCUGCCUGAGAGACCGGUCCCCCAGAGACCGGUCCCAUAAGGAGAGACCGGUUGCCCUGCGCGCAGCAGCUCUGGCUGCGCAGGGUGGACGUUCGGGAACCGGUCCCUGCUCGGGGAGACCGGUCUCUGCCUGCGCGGAAUGCCCAGUUCGGGCAGUGUAUUAAAGUGAAAGUUGAGGGGUU